UCUCCCCUUACUUGUGUCUACAGGGCCCAGGAGUUGUCUUUUGUACUCGGUAAGGACUUGGCUGGGAGGCCUAAAACCACCCUCCAACAAGGGCACAGAAGGAAUCACUUCCAUCUUCUCUUGUCUCUAGGCUCCUGCUUGUCCAUGUCAGCUCAGUCCUUCAUAAAGGGUAAGUUUUCUAGAGAGAACCAUUCUACCAUUGGCUCCUCUGUUGAGAUGACCCCCCCUUCACUUCCUUCAAAUUUUCAGCCACCUCUGGACAUUGCUUUCAAGAAUCCCCAGCUCCAGCCCUAGCCCCAGCCCCAGCCUCACCCCAGCCUGUCCUAAUCCCCUCUGGCAAUUCUCUUCUCCUCCCUGAGUUUCUACUUUCCUUUAUUUCAGGCAUUGAGGUGUCCACGUGGAAGACACCCCACUGGCACUGCAAGGUGGCUUCAGAUGAGCUCUUCUUAAUCUUCCUACCCUGCAGCCUCCUCCUGCUUCCAUAUACUUUGGACCUCUUGCGAGGCCUUCAGCAAAUGUAUGGAGAAUGUCAUUAAAAUUUUGCUUAGAUAAUGUUCACUUUAAUAUUACAUACUCACACAAAAAGGUCAAGCAGGGUGCAUUUUCCAUCCCUGAGUUCAAACUGUAGGAAUAGCUUUGCCAGAAAGGAAGACCUCAGACAGGCCCUGUGGCACAUCCUGUAAUCCCAGAGGCUUGGGAGGCUGAGGAAGGAGGAUCAUCAAAAUAGAAAAAAAA
rnacentral:lncRNA from 1 species